CCUACGGGUGGCUGCAGUGGGGAAUAUUGCACAAUGGGCGCAAGCCUGAUGCAGCCAUGCCGCGUGUGUGAAGAAGGCCUUCGGGUUGUAAAGCACUUUCAGCGGGGCGGAAGGCGGUGAGGUUAAUAACCUCAUCGAUUGACGUUACCCGCAGAAGAAGCACCGGCUAACUCCGUGCCAGCAGCCGCGGUAAUACGGAGGGUGCAAGCGUUAAUCGGAAUUACUGGGCGUAAAGCGCACGCAGGCGGUCUGUCAAGUCGGAUGUGAAAUCCCCGGGCUCAACCUGGGAACUGCAUUCGAAACUGGCAGGCUAGAGUCUUGUAGAGGGGAGUAGAAUUCCAGGUGUAGCGGUGAAAUGCGUAGAGAUCUGGAGGAAUACCGGUGGCGAAGGCGGCCCCCUGGACAAAGACUGACGCUCAGGUGCGAAAGCGUGGGGAGCAAACCGGAUUAGAUACCCUUGUAGUC
rnacentral:rRNA from 1 species